UGAUUCCUUCUUCCCCUAUAACAACAACCAAAAAAAAAUUCUUUUGAAAUUAGUUGAACUCUCGACCUAGAAGCAACCCUAACCAUUUGUAUCGAAAAAACUAAAAAAAAAAGUUACUUAAAAAGUUUAAAUUUAACGGUAGAAAAAAUCAUUACUUAUUUGUGGUGCCGAGGCGGUGAUCUUUACCUCCGAAAACCGACACCGUCACCGAACUGCACUGCAACCGGCGAGCACGACCACCGCACAAUCACAACCACACACCAACGCCGCCUUCAACCACCCUCCGAUCUCCAUUCUGCUCUGACUACGCCUUAAGAUUCCCUCUAAGAAGGCUCUGGGAAUGGCAGCGGUUUGCAGUCAUUACAUCUUCAAUAAGUCCAGUGGAUUGAUCUACUAUAAGGAUUAUGGGUCUUCUGGACGCAUGGACACCAAUGAUAGCUUACGGGUGGCUAGCUUAUGGCAUUCAAUGCAUGCCAUCUCAGCAAUUAUCACCUGUUUCUGGUUGUGCAGGAAUUGAAUUACUCCAAGCUGACACAUUUGAUCUUCAUUGCUUCCAAUCACUAACAGGUUCAAUGUAAUAGCCCUGGCUUCCCACUGCUUUACCUCCAGUCAAGAGUGUUGCUCCUUCGCUCUUUCCAUGCUCAAUAUAGGAAAUAAUUUUUUCAAAUUGGUUCCUAUCAGCCUACAACAGACAACUGUUAUCAAACCAAUCAAGUAAGGUCCUUAUAUGACUUUUUUUGCAAGCAAUUGUAUAUUGAUUUUACCUGAGGUCCUUGUUGAGUUUUAGGAUCAAAAGGAUCACCAACAAUCCAAGCUUUUGCUUUCUCCACCAACUUCUUCUCGACUUGAUCAUAUAUCCCUUCCUGAACAAACACACGGGAACUUGCGACACAAACUUCUCCCUGAAAAAACCAUAAGUUUAGAAAUAAAAUAUUGACUAGGCAAAGAUGUAAACAGAGGAUGCUCUUUGUAAGGAAAGGGUUUUAGGAAGACAAAAUUUCAAUUUCACCUUGUUAGUUAGGAGACCGAAAAGAGCUAGCUCAGCAGCUUUGUCGACAUCAGCAUCAUCGAAAAUAAUGAGAGGUGACUUCCCUCCUAGUUCUAGUGAAACAUGUUUUAAAUUACUCUUUGCUGCAGCUUGCAUUAUUUCGCGGCCUACUUCAACCGAACCAGUAAAGCUAACCUGAAGAUACAAAAAUCAAAGGGCUUAGCAGUCAUAGUUAGUUACCAACUUGGUAAUUGAACUUAUAAAUGUUUGACAUAUAUAAUUAACUUGCCACAUCUAUGUCCAUGUGUGAGCUAAUUGCAGCACCAGCAGUUGGGCCAAAUCCAGCAGGUUUGAGGACCAUGGUGCAACCAGCAGCUAAAGCAGGACUAACUUUUACGAAGAAAAUUGAACUGGGCGCAUUCCAUGGAGUGAUAUGUCCCACAACUCCAAUUGGUUCCAUUAAUGUGUAAGCAUGGAAUUGGCCAGAAGAUUUUAAUACCUCACCAUGGAUUUUAUCAGCAGCACCUGCGUAGUAACGUAGUGUAUUUGCCGAUGAAGAGGGAAAUGAAAGUGAAUACAACAUAUUCAAUCUGACAAAAAGAAAAAGAAUAAGUAACUUACGAAACCAGACAUUCGUGGCCAUGGACCCGAGUCAAAUGCCUCGCGCGCUGCUUUAACUGCAAUGUCAAUGUCUUCUUUAGCUCCUUCACUGAUUCUUGCAAUCACCUCUCCUGUUCUUGGGUCUAUUGUCUCAAAUGUUGUUCCUAAUUUUCCAUUAAAAUUCCAUUUUUUUAUCAGUGUUAUAUGAAAAAGAAAUAAUACUAUAGUUUUAUAUUUGUUACUAUCUUGAUCUUUAAAUAUGAGUAUUGAGUAAAAACAUGAUCAUAAACAAAUGGUGUAACCUUGACUUGUUUUCAUUGUAAUAGAGGCUACUUAACUAUUUUUAGAAGUCA